AUGGGUAUGUCUCUGUAUAAAAUGGUUUAUGGAAAAGCAUGUCACUUACCCCUCGAACUAGAACAUAAGGCAUAUUGGGCUAUUAAAGAACUCAAUUAUGAUUUCAAACUUGCCGGUGAGAAGAGCUUAUUCGACAUUAGCUCACUUGAUGAAUGGAGAACCCAAGCCUAUGAAAAUGCCAAGUUGUUUAAAGAAAAAGUUAAAAGAUGGCAUGAAAAAAGGAUACAAAAGCGUGAGUUUAAUGUAGGUGAUUAUGUAUUGCUAUACAACUCUCGUUUAAGAUUUUUUGCAGGAAAACUUCUCUCUAAAUGGGAAGGCCCUUACGUUAUCGAGGAGGUCUAUCGUUCCGGUGCCAUAAAAAUCAACAACUUCGGAGGCACAAAUCCGAAGGUGGUGAACGGUCAAAGAAUUAAACACUAUAUCUCAGGUAAUCCUAUAAAUGUUGAAACUAAUGUUAUUGAAACCGUAACACCGGAGGAAUACAUAAGAGACACUUUCCAGAACGUUUGA
rnacentral:rRNA from 1 species